ACAACAUGUUGCCAAUAUUUAGUGUUUUGAAAUUGUGUAGAUAAACGAUAAAGCAAUUCAUAUUACUAAUAUUACCUAGCAUCACGGAGCUCAACCUCUACUCUUUUCUUUGGCUUGUCGUUGAUCUCGCACGUCUUCAUGUCACCUAUAGAAACCACCUGUCCAACAACAUCUAAUAUACAUAUCCAAAUUAAUCUAUUAUCAUUUUUAUAGAAAUUUAUCAUAUACCACUUCUUAUAAAAUAGGUACCUAUCAAGAUGUUGUCAUUCAGACCAUCUUCUGCAAGAAUAUCUGAAUAUGUAGCAAGAUCCAAGAAAUAGUCUGGUGACAAAGGAGGGCACCGGGUCAUGAUAGUGGAGUUCAUGAUCGUCAUCUUGUAAGGAUGACUGGUUGCCCUAAAUUUCCCAGAAGAUCUUGUUAGCUGAAAGUUUUCGAUGGUUCUCCAUUCGCCAAAGACAAUAUGUCUUUGGAUCUUGUUCAGUUGCUGCUUUUUCACUGUGGCAUGGAUCAGAGUACCCUAACAGAAAAAAAAAUGUAUACUAUUAAGAUGAGGAUUAUCACAUAUUAGAAAACAAAGCGUGGUUUGAUAUCGGACAGAGGAGUUGUACCAUCAUUGCCGGCUAUUUGCGAUUGCUUGGUAUAGAUGAGAUAAUCUGUUUGGAAACGUGGAAAGCUUAUUGAAGAUCCGAAUAGUGUUAUACUUUGAUAGUAGAACCAACAGAAGGUCCGCGUCUUUUUGCUUUAUUUUUUUACGAAAUUGUCCCUUUUUUUCUCUUCUUCUUGAUUUCUGUUAAGCGUAGUGGUAUUUCAUGUCAUGUAAAGAAAUAUUUUUUUUUUUAUACCUAAGUGUGCCUCCCAAUUAAUAGUAUAGAUGUAUAAUGGGAGUUAAUAACAUGCAAAAGUUCAUGAUGCUGCCUCGGGGCAGAUAAAGGCAUUUACAUCACGCCCCAAUAUAUAAAGGAUUUUUAAGGUUUCCAAAUCUUAA